rnacentral:rRNA from 1 species
AAUAGAUACCCCGGUAGUCCACGCCGUAAACGAUGAGUGCUAAGUGUUAGGGGGUUUCCGCCCCUUAGUGCUGCAGCUAACGCAUUAAGCACUCCGCCUGGGGAGUACGGUCGCAAGACUGAAACUCAAAGGAAUUGACGGGGGCCCGCACAAGCGGUGGAGCAUGUGGUUUAAUUCGAAGCAACGCGAAGAACCUUACCAGGUCUUGACAUCCCAUUGGCCACUACGGAGACAUAGUUUUCCCUUCGGGGACAACGGUGACAGGUGGUGCAUGGUUGUCGUCAGCUCGUGUCGUGAGAUGUUGGGUUAAGUCCCGCAACGAGCGCAACCCUUGUUCUUAGUUGCCAUCAUUUAGUUGGGCACUCUAAGGAGACUGCCGGUGACAAACCGGAGGAAGGUGGGGAUGACGUCAAAUCAUCAUGCCCCUUAUGACCUGGGCUACACACGUGCUACAAUGGACGGUACAAACGGUUGCCAACCGCGAGGGGGAGCUAAUCCGAUAAAACCGUUCUCAGUUCGGAUUGUAGGCUGCAACUCGCCUACAUGAAGCCGG